rnacentral:rRNA from 1 species
GACGUAGGGGGCGAGCGUUGUCCGGAUUCAUUGGGCGUAAAGCGCGCGUAGGCGGCCCGGUAAGUCGGAUGUGAAAUCCUGGAGCUCAACUCCAGAACUGCCUUUGAUACAGCACGUCUUGAGUCCGGAAGAGGUGGGUGGAAUUCCUAGUGUAGAGGUGAAAUUCGUAGAUAUUAGGAAGAACACCGGUGGCGAAGGCGGCCCACUGGUCCGGUACUGACGCUGAGGUGCGAAAGCGUGGGGAGCAAACAGG